rnacentral:rRNA from 1 species
AAAUGAAUAGACGGGGGCCCGCACAAGCAGCGGAGCAUGUGGUUUAAUUCGAAGCAACGCGAAGAACCUUACCAGGUCUUGACAUCCCCUGAUUGCCCUAGAGAUAGGGAGUUCCCUUCGGGGACAGGGAGACAGGUGGUGCAUGGUUGUCGUCAGCUCGUGUCGUGAGAUGUUGGGUUAAGUCCCGUAACGAGCGCAACCCUUGUAUUUAGUUGCCAUCAGGUAAUGCUGGGCACUCUAGAUAGACUGCCGUAGAGAAUACGGAGGAAGGUGGGGAUGACGUCAAAUCAUCAUGCCCCUUAUGACCUGGGCUACACACGUGCUACAAUGGCCUGAACAGAGGGCAGCGAAAUAGCGAUAUGGAGCUAAUCCCACAAAACAGGUCUCAGUUCGGAUUGUAGGCUGCAACUCGCCUACAUGAAGUCGGAGUUGCUAGUAAUCGCGGAUCAGAAUGCCGCGGUGAAUGCGUUCCCGGGCCUUGUACACACCGCCCGU